CCUAGAUGUGAAUUUAUGUUCUUGUACAUUCAAGGCCUUUAAUGUUAAGUUUUUCACAUGCAUUUAGGUCACAACACAAUACUUGUGACUGUGAGACAUGUUCCACGAUGACUUUGGACAAGUAUACAAAAAUACCCAAGGUGUUGGAUUCUAUGACCAAUGUACUUGUUCUUUUUUUGCAACAUCCCUUUUAGACUGUUUCUUCUCUUUUGUCCCUGCCUCUGGAUUUAUUUAAUACUCCAGUUUUCUCUUUCUACUGUAUAUUUGAGUCAUUUCUGGAUCUGAUCCAAAUGCUGCUGAAGUCCACAGCACUGGCUUCAAGAGACUCCUAGGAUCAGGUCCUUAAUAGGCAUUUAAUAAUGGCGUUGAAGAAAUUGUUCUGGGGCUUGAAGUCCAUUAGACAUUCAUAAAACAGGACUGAAGGGUGAUGGCUCACUGCUGGAAGCAUUUCUCUGUUUUCAUUACCAAGCAACGGUGCAAGAAGCCAACAGUAUCAUUUGAGGAUUAUCAUGCUCUCUUCUGAAGCCGAGAGUAUUGCAAGUCUGUAUAAAACUGAGUACUCCUACGUCAUCUGAACUCCUGCUGCUGCUCUACAAACUCGACAGCAGUUGAGCAACAAGAAGUACAGCUAGAGCUCAUCUGUGUAACUUGCCAAGCAUCCUACAAAAUGAAAUAGCAGUGACAAACCAAGGAAUCUGAGAACAUUCUUAUUCAGAGGCAGAAAUCAAACUAAAAUUGAACUUGAAGAGAGAUAAAGCAUCUGAAAAGGCAACGGAGCAGAUCUCUGGCACGUGGGCUAGUCUUUGAAGCCCUACAGAAGGUUGUGUUGGUGUUGUCUUUCUCUGACAGAGAGUGAAGCCAGGUCACAGCCAGAAAGUACAUGAGGCCACAAAGAAGCAAAGAUUUUAGCUACAUGUUCAGCCUUUUCCCAGAAGCAAUACAGCCUCGCUGGUCAAUGUUCAACAGAUACUGCAUGUUGUGGGAUCCAGCUUACUGUUAAGAACUAUGUGCUGAGUUGUCAACGUUUGGACAGCACUGGGCUACACACAGAUUUUCAUGAAGGCUGAUUCCUUACAUGCUGGUUAAACAUUACUAUUCCAACAAGAGAAAAGCUGAUCUGAAAUCCCAUUGGUGUCAGUUACUGGAGGUGCUGUCUAGAAGGAAAGCACCCUAUAGUCUCCCUUCCAUUUUUUCUCAUCUGUUACUGCCCAUGACAAACAGAUUCAUUCUAAGUGGAAAUUUCAAGCCCAGUGAUACUGUCCCUUUCCUCGUCAGUCAACAGAGAGAUGCGUACACUGCAGAAGGGACAUGUGCCUCCCCAGAGCUACAGCCAAACCUACCGUGAUUUUGAGGACCAUCAGCAAAGGUCAGAGCAUCACUCUGCCAAGCCAUAAUGCAUCUAUCAACAUAAAGUCAAAGUCUGUCCCCAGGACUGCUAUGUGAAUAACACUGGAACUUUAAACUGUGCAGUUCACACCCUGUAUACAUACAAGAAAUUGAAGAAAUUCACAAUAAUUAACCUUAUUUGCAUUGUUCCAGCAGAAGGGAUGAGAAAGUGUUUCCAAAAGCAUUUGCAAAAAAUGUUCAUAGAGGUGCCUUCUGCAACGCGAGGCUCUCCAUGGAAGAGCCCACAGAAGUAUAGUUAGUGCUUUUAAGUCAGCCCUGCACUGAGUAGAUUAGCUAAGAGAGAAGAAAAUGACACAGUGAAAGAACCUUGUUAAAAAUAUAGAUUAAAUUGACGAAGCCCAAAAGUUCUAAGUAAAUAUCUGUUUUUUGUUAAAAAUAAAAAAAAAAUUAAAAAAAAAAAAAAAAAAGGAAAGAAAGAAUGUCAUUAUCAAUUCUGAAACAGCUGUUGUUCAGACACAGACGCAGUUCCCAUCAUUACACCGUAGAGAUACAGUUUCCUUAUCCCUCAUGUCUCCCUGCUCUUCUUGGCUGGGGAACGUGCUCAGGAUUUGUUGAGAAAGAAGUAUAUAUGAAUUCAGUCAUUCUUGUAUCUUGCUCACCUUGUAGAUAUAGGUGUAGACAUAUAACAAGAACAGUGGAAUAAGGCCAGAGUAUCCUGACUGUUGAUAAGGAUGGAUAAGAAGCAGAAAAUAGCAUUCGUGUUUAAAUCAAAAGAUAUCUAGCAGGUAUGAUGUCAGGACAAGCAGGCCUAUUGGUGUCCCUUUAAAGUACAGGAGAAGAGGAAUAGCUAAACUUAGUGUAUAUUUUUAUAAUCAGCUUUUUUUGUGAUCCUGAAAACUCACAUAUUUACUUCUCACUACAUGUGCUUCCAUCAAACUUCAAAGUAUGGACAACUCAGUUCAAAAUUGCAUUAUACCUCUUAGUUGGCUGUUGGCUAUAUAUACUGCGGAAGGACUGAACAAAAGAAUCAUGUAACUUGUCUUCUGGUAGUAACAGAAAUAUUAGUGGCAUAGACCAAGCUGUUGAUUUGUUACAUUUCAGGCCUCAGGUAAUAAUUUCACAGCUCUGCUGCAGGGUAGAACUAAAAGUACAUUGUUUUCUGACAAAAUGUAAUCAGAAUUGGUGACUAUCCAGAUUUCUAUGUAAGCAUUUGGUGUGAUGCUGUGUGUUUGUGUGUGUAUGCAUAUAUCUAUGUUUAUCUGUAUCUUGUCUUAACUGAUAUAAUGUAGACAGCACAAUGCAUUUUCCUCCAAAGACCUAUAAACUGAGCUCUAUUGAAUAGCUUAUGAUACCAGAACCAUCUUUUCUGUUUAAUGGUGUAAUGUAUCUUCUGUAGACACGAAAAUCUGGAAAAUCACAUUAAUGCUAGGUUUAAUUAGAGUAAUGAUCAAAUUUGGAGGUUAGGCUUGAAAAAUACGUAUCCAGAUUGUCAAAAUUUCUUCAUCAAAGGUUCCUAUUGGAUGCCUGUGCUCGCUAACUUACUGUCUUCGGAGGCCUAUCAAAUUUGGACUAGACCUAGUUUGAUGGUUAAAACUGACUGUAAUAUUGACAAGUUUUUGGUAUGACAUGAAAAGUAUUGAAGUUUAUUGUUCUACAGACUUCUUUCUAGGCUUUAGCUGAGACACAUAUAGGAAUUAUUUUCUUUCUUUAGACAUCUUCACAAAACGUGCAGUAAUAAAAUUUUGUCUUAAACACCUCUACUUUUCUUUGAAUCUGUGUAGAAAUUUGAAUUAUUAGGAACAAGAGAUGAAAAGGGAUAGAAAACAUAGCCAUAAGUUUCCUUCCCCAAGAAAAUAGGUUUAAAGUGUUUGCUAACAGUUGCUAAGACAAACAAUUAUAAAAAAAAAAUAGUUUAUUGCCAUUUCUUGCCUGAGAACCAAAAAGCCAAUUAAUAUUUAAGCAGUCACUUUCCAUCUGCCUAGUCCUGAUUUGUCCACCUGUCAGCAGUGAUCUCCAUCAAAGCUUACCAGGAGGAUGAGCAUCUCUCAGCAGACUCUCCAAGACUGAAGGAAGCCUAUUUCACUAGCAUGGAUAGCACUGUUGUAGCUUUUGUCUUCAGUGCCCAUUGCGCUCUUGGACAGGGUAACAUAAACGAAUAUGCUUCCUCUCACUAGUGAGUGGAGAGCAGCUGCUGAUAAGGGGAAUCAUACAGUGGGAAGGGAAUGAGAUUUUAAGUAAUCUGGGCAAUGACAGCCCUGAGGGUUCUGCAGCUUGUAAGCAGCAUGGACACUCUCUGACCUUGCUUUCUUUGCCUCAUUUCACCUGAUAAAUGAGUGUGGUGCACUGGGAGUUCGGGUCUACCCGCCCACAGCAGUGCAAAUCACUUCACUGAAGGGAUAAUUGAGUAUGUGAGAGGCUCUGCUCAGAGAACUUUCACAUGAUUGCAGUUGCAAAGGGUAACCACUUCCUCAGCCUGUCUGACUGAAAGGUGAGUCAAACAGAGAUCAGUACAGGCACUAACAGAGUAACUAGAGAUGAAAGGAGAAAACCCCACAGCUCAUAAUGAGUGAGGAGACCCACAGCUCUGGUGCACUGACCAAGUGUGUGGUCACUCCAAGUUAGCAUGAUGUGAGUGCAAAUGGACAUGGCUCCCAUUUCUUUGUCCAGAAUAUCACAGGCAGAAAUACGCAUCUCACUGAACCUCCUGCCUGUGCACUGUACAGAUGGCCAGCACAUGUGUGGUAUGUCAG
ensembl:lncRNA